rnacentral:rRNA from 1 species
UACGAAGGGGGCUAGCGUUGUUCGGAAUCACUGGGCGUAAAGGGCGCGUAGGCGGCCGAUCAAGUCGGGGGUGAAAGCCUGUGGCUCAACCACAGAAUUGCCUUCGAUACUGUUUGGCUUGAGACCGGAAGAGGUUAGUGGAACUGCGAGUGUAGAGGUGAAAUUCGUAGAUAUUCGCAAGAACACCAGUGGCGAAGGCGGCUCACUGGCCCGAUACUGACGCUGAGGCACGAAAGCGUGGGGAGCAAACAGGAUUAGAAA